rnacentral:lncRNA from 1 species
GGCCUUUAUUUCAUUCCUUUGUGUGUUUAGGUGUGUUGCUGUGCUGACUAGAAAUUACAGCAUAAUGUUAGAGAAAUUGUACUAGCAAUUAAAAUGUCAAUUUAUGUGAAUUUGAAAAAAUGCAUAAAAAUCCUACAUGUAAACAAGAAAAAAAUACAACUCAAAGAAAAAUAAGCAAAAGCUCUGGACAGGAAAUACAGAGAAGAGUCACAUAUGGUCAAUACAUAUAUAAAAAGAUAUUUAGCUUCAUUAAUGAUCAGAGAACUAAAGAAACAAUACAAUUUUACAUUUGUCAGAUUGGUAACAAUCUAAAAACUUUUUUCAUUGUCAAUUUUGUACAAUUGUAAAAAACACGUAACACACAAUUUACUAUCUUAAACAUUUUGAAGUGUGCAGUUUAGUACUUUAAGUAUGUUUUCGUUAUUGUGAGCAAAUACCCACAACGUUUUCGUCUUGCAGAUCUGAAACUCUAUACCCAUUAAACAAAACCUUCGCUUUACACGCCCCCUGCCCCCGCAAUCUGUCCGUGGUAACCGCCAUUCUGUUUUCUGUUUCUAUGAAUUUAACUACUUUAGAUUCCUGAUAUAAAAGGAAUCAUGCAAUAUUUGUCCUUUUGUGCUGGCUUAUUUCAGUUAUCAUAAUGCCUUCAAGGUUCAUCCAUUUGUAGCAUGUAACAGGAUAGCCUUCUUUGGAAGACUGAAUAAUAUCCUAAUAUAUAUAUUAUCUAACAUAAUAUAUUAUAUAACAUAUAACAUAAUAUAUUAUAUAACAUAUAAUAUAAUAUAUUAU